GACGAACGCUGGCGGCGUGCUUAACACAUGCAAGUCGAACGGAAAGGCCCCUUUGGGGGUACUCGAGUGGCGAACGGGUGCGUAACACGUGAGUAACCUGCCCUUGACUUCGGGAUAACUUCAGGAAACUGGGGCUAAUACCGGAUAGGAAUCCUUGCUGCAUGGUGGGGGUUGGAAAGCUUCGGCGGUUUUGGAUGGACUCGCGGCUUAUCAGCUUGUUGGUGGGGUAGUGGCUUACCAAGGCUUUGACGGGUAGCCGGCCUGGGAGGGCGACCGGCCACAUUGGGACUGAGAUACGGCCCAGACUCCUACGGGAGGCAGCAGUGGGGAAGAUUGCACAAUGGGCGGAAGCCUGAUGCAGCAACGCCGCGUGCGGGAUGACGGCCUUCGGGUUGGAAAACGCUUUCAGCAGGGGCGAAGCUUGUGGUGACGGUACCUGCAGAAGAAGCACCGGCUAACUACGUG
rnacentral:rRNA from 1 species